rnacentral:rRNA from 1 species
UACGUAGGGGGCGAGCGUUGUCCGGAGUUACUGGGCGUAAAGCGCUUGUAGGCGGUCCACCAAGUUUGGGGUGACAGUUGCCGACUUAAUCGGCAAAGUGCCUCAAAGACUGGCGGACUUGAGGGCCACAGAGGGACAUGGAACUCCAGGUGUAGUGGUGAAAUGCGUAGAUAUCGUUUGGAACGCCAAAGGUGAAAACAGCUCGCUGGGGGUCUGCUGACGCUGAGACACGAAAGCCAGGGGAGCGAACGGG